rnacentral:rRNA from 1 species
GGUUAAGUUAGAAAGGGCGCACGGUGGAUGCCUUGGCACUAGGAGCCGAAGAAGGACGGGACUAACACCGAUAUGCUUUGGGGAGCUGUACGUAAGCGUUGAUCCAGAGAUUUCCGAAUGGGGGAACCCACUAUCUUUAGUCGGAUAGUAUCCUUACGUGAAUACAUAGCGUGAGGAAGGCAGACCCAGGGAACUGAAACAUCUAAGUACCUGGAGGACGAGAAAGAAAAAUCGAUUUCCUGAGUAGCGGCGAGCGAAACGGAAAGAGCCCAAACCAAGAAGCUUGCUUCUUGGGGUUGUAGGACACUCUAUACGGAGUUACAAAAGAAAGUUAUAAAUGAAGCGGUCUGGAAAGGCCCGCCAAAGACGGUAACAGCCCGGUAGUUGAAAUGGCUUUCCCUCCAGAGUGGAUCCUGAGUACGGCGGAACACGUGAAAUUCCGUCGGAAUCCGGGAGGACCAUCUCCCAAGGCUAAAUACUCCCUAGUGACCGAUAGUGAACCAGUACCGUGAGGGAAAGGUGAAAAGCACCCCGGAAGGGGAGUGAAACAGUUCCUGAAACCGUGUGCCUACAAGUAGUUAGAGCCCGUUAAUGGGUGAUAGCGUGCCUUUUGUAGAAUGAACCGGCGAGUUACGAUUUGUUGCAAGGUUAAGCGGAAAAAGCGGAGCCGUAGCGAAAGCGAGUCUGAAUAGGGCGCAUAAGUAACAGGUCGUAGACCCGAAACCAGGUGAUCUACCCAUGUCCAGGAUGAAGGUAAGGUAAUACUUACUGGAGGUCCGAACCCACGCACGUUGAAAAGUGCGGGGAUGAGGUGUGGGUAGCGGAGAAAUUCCAAUCGAACUUGGAGAUAGCUGGUUCUCUCCGAAAUAGCUUUAGGGCUAGCCUCGAGGUAAAGAGUCAUGGAGGUAGAGCACUGUUUGGACUAGGGGCCCUUCUCGGGUUACCGAAUUCAGAUAAACUCCGAAUGCCAUGUACUUAUACUCGGGAGUCAGACUGCGAGUGAUAAGAUCCGUAGUCGAAAGGGAAACAGCCCAGACCACCAGUUAAGGUCCCCAAAUAUAUGUUAAGUGGAAAAGGAUGUGGGGUUGCUUAGACAACCAGGAUGUUGGCUUAGAAGCAGCCACCAUUGAAAGAGUGCGUAAUAGCUCACUGGUCGAGUGACCCCGCGCCGAAAAUGUACCGGGGCUAAACAUAUUACCGAAACUGUGGAUGAACCUCUGUAGAGGUUCGUGGUAGGAGAGCGUUCUAAGGGCGGUGAAGUCAGACCGGAAGGACUGGUGGAGCGCUUAGAAGUGAGAAUGCCGGUAUGAGUAGCGAAAGAAGGGUGAGAAUCCCUUCCACCGAAUAUCUAAGGUUUCCUGAGGAAGGCUCGUCCGCUCAGGGUUAGUCGGGACCUAAGCCGAGGCCGAUAGGCGUAGGCGAUGGACAACAGGUAGAGAUUCCUGUACCAGUGCUAAUUGUUUAACCGAUGGGGUGACACAGAAGGAUAGGGAAUCGCACGAAUGGAAAUGUGCGUCCAAGCAGUGAGUGUGAGAAGUAGGCAAAUCCGCUUCUCGCGAAGCAUGAGCUGUGAUGGGGAAGGAAAUUAAGUACGGAAGUUCCUGAUUUCACGCUGUCAAGAAAAGCCUCUAGGAAGAGUAGUACUGCCCGUACCGCAAACCGACACAGGUAGAUGAGGAGAGAAUCCUAAGGUGAGCGAGAGAACUCUCGUUAAGGAACUCGGCAAAAUGACCCCGUAACUUCGGGAGAAGGGGUGCUCUAUUAGGGUGCAAGCCCGAGAGAGCCGCAGUGAAUAGGCCCAGGCGACUGUUUAGCAAAAACACAGGUCUCUGCAAAACCGUAAGGUGACGUAUAGGGGCUGACGCCUGCCCGGUGCUGGAAGGUUAAGAGGAGUGCUUAGCUUCGGCGAAGGUACGAAUUGAAGCCCCAGUAAACGGCGGCCGUAACUAUAACGGUCCUAAGGUAGCGAAAUUCCUUGUCGGGUAAGUUCCGACCCGCACGAAAGGCGCAACGAUCUGGGCACUGUCUCAACGAGAGACUCGGUGAAAUUAUAGUACCUGUGAAGAUGCAGGUUACCCGCGACAGGACGGAAAGACCCCGUGGAGCUUUACUGCAACCUGAUAUGGAAUGUUUGUACCGCUUGUACAGGAUAGGUAGGAGCCGAAGAGACGUGUGCGCUAGCAUACGAGGAGGCAAUGGUGGGAUACUACCCUGGCUGUAUGACCAUUCUAACCCGCCACGCUUAGCGCGUGGGGAGACAGUGUCAGGUGGGCAGUUUGACUGGGGCGGUCGCCUCCUAAAGAGUAACGGAGGCGCCCAAAGGUUCCCUCAGAAUGGAUGGAAAUCAUUCG